rnacentral:rRNA from 1 species
GACGAACGCUGGCGGCGUGCUUAACACAUGCAAGUCGAACGGAAAGGCCCUGCAUUUGUGGGGUGCUCGAGUGGCGGACGGGUGAGUAACGCUUGAGUAACCUGCCCUUGACUUUGGGAUAACUUCAGGAAACUGGGGCUAAUACCGGAUAGGAGCUCCUGCUGCAUGGUGGGGGGUGGAAAGUUGCGGCGGUUGGGGAUGGACUCGCGGCUUAUCAGCUUGUUGGGGGGGUAGUGGCUUACCAAGGCUUUGACGGGUAGCCGGCCUGAGAGGGUGACCGGCCACAUUGGGACUGAGAUACGGCCCAGACUACUACGGGACGCAGCAGUGGGGAAUAUUGCACAAUGGGCGGAAGCCUGAUGCAGCAACGCAGCGUGCGGGAUGACGGCCUUCGGGUUGUAAACCGCUUUCGCCUGUGACGAAGCGUGAGUGACGGUAAUGGGUAAAGAAGCACCGGCUAACUACGUG